GACGAACGCUGGCGGCGUGCUUAACACAUGCAAGUCGAACGCGCCUGUCCUCUGGGUUUCUGGGGGGUGGGUGAGUGGCGAACGGGUGAGCAACACGUGAGUAACCUGCCCCCUUCUUCGGGAUAACGGUCUGAAAGGGCUGCUAAUACCGGGUAUUCACUGGUCUCCGCAUGGGGUCUGGUGGAAAGGUUUUUUUCUGGUGGGGGAUGGGCUCGCGGCCUAUCAGCUUGUUGGUGGGGUGAUGGCCCACCAAGGCUUUGACGGGUAGCCGGCCUGAGAGGGUGACCGGUCACAUUGGGACUGAGAUACGGCCCAGACUCCUACGGGAGGCAGCAGUGGGGAAUAUUGCACAAUGGGCGCAAGCCUGAUGCAGCGACGCCGCGUGAGGGAUGGAGGCCUUCGGGUUGUGAACCUCUUUCGCCCGUGGUCAAGCCGCGACGUGGGUCGUGGUGAGGGUAGUGGGUAAAGAAGCGCCGGCUAACUACGUG
rnacentral:rRNA from 1 species